rnacentral:rRNA from 1 species
GGAAUAUUGGACAAUGGGCGAAAGCCUGAUCCAGCCAUGCCGCGUGUGUGAAGAAGGUCUUCGGAUUGUAAAGCACUUUAAGUUGGGAGGAAGGGUCGUAACUUAAUACGUUGCUAUUUUGACGUUACCGACAGAAUAAGCACCGGAUAACUUCGUGCCAGCAGCCGCGGUAAUACGAAGGGUGCAAGCGUUACUCGGAAGAACUGGGCGUAAAGCGCGCGUAGUUGGUUCAGUAAGUUGGAUGUGAAAUCCCCGGGCUCAGCCUGGGAACUGCAUCCAAAACUGCUGAACUAGAGUACGGUAGAGGGUGGUGGAAUUUCCUGUGUAGCGGUGAAAUGCGUAGAUAUAGGAAGGAACACCAGUGGCGAAGGCGACCACCUGGACUGAUACUGACACUGAGGUGCGAAAGCGUGGGGAGCAAAC